rnacentral:tRNA from 1 species
GGUUGUGGCUCAGUGAUAGAGCACUUGCCUCGCAUGUGUGAGGCCCUGGGUUCCAUCCUCAGCACCA